AGGACACAGUGAGAAGGCGGCUGUCUGCAAGCCAAGGAGAGAGGCCUCAGGAGGAACCAACCCUGCUGAGACCUGGAUCUCAGACUUCCGGACCUGAACUUUUCUUUUCUAGAAGUCUAUUUUGCUCUGGGGAGCACAGCCGGGGGUGCUCAGCUUUUCACAUGGUGACCUGGUGUUUCAGACGACCCGGACUCAAGGCUGACAGUUCUUCAAGACGAGUCUAGGUCUUCAUACUCUUAUAAGAAUGCUAAAUUCAUUAGUUUGUACCAUCACUGAAUGCAACAAGUGCGUGGCAAGCUUGUCUCCCCUCUAACCUGUUUUAUCCGACUAGAAACUUCUGAACAAAAUCAAGAGGACUGUAAAAUUCCAGCUGCUACUGCACAGCACUCCCAACCCUGGGGGACACUCAGGGGACAGGGUGUGUCCUCACGUCUUCAGGCCACCCUGCCAGGGCUGGCCAAGCCCCUUAAGGACCAGCCUUCGCCCCGAUUCCUGCACGCUGUUGUCAUGGCUGCAUCUGCCACACAGCAUUCCGGCCGGGGACCAGCCUCAUGUAUGUCACAGGAGGUCGUGGAGAGGACGUGACCACUGGUUGACCAUCGAGCUGGACCCGGGCAAUGGGAGGCUCCUCGCUCCCUCCCGUCCUUGGGAUGUACGUCUGCCCACAGUUCCUGCACUAGGAACCUCUUCAAGGACUUCUCAACUUGACUUUGCAACUAUAAUUACAACAACUUACCAGGCAUUUUGAGCUAUGUUAAUCUGGCAGAUGACUUGACAUUACUUCUUUUGCUUUAUUGUGAAAUACAAUGCACAGGUCAUAAGGUUAAUUGAACAGUUAAUUAUAAAGCAUGCACCGUGGGACCCAGGUCAAGACAGCAAGUCUGCUGUGCACAGGAAGCUGCCUCUGCUCCAUGUGACUCCCCCUGGUCACAGCCCCUUCCUCUUGUCUCCCCACAGGUAACAACUCUUCUAACUUUGUGAAAAUUUCCUUGCUUUUCUCUGUGGUUUUACCCUUCUGCUAUAAUCGUAAGCAGUACAGUUUGCUUCAGGCUGAUUUUGAGAUUUCCAUAAAUGAAAUAAUGUUGAAAUGUCGUCUUCUGAAUCCGGCUUCUCUUGCUCAACUUAUGUUUUGUAGCUUCAUCCAUGCUGUGAAUGCAGCAACAACGUGUCCAUGUUUGUUACUAUAUAGUAUUCCAUUGGAUGGAUAUAUCGUGAUUUAUGUCCCCAUUCUGCUGUCGCUGAUUUUGGGGGCUCACCGAGAAAGGUACCUCCAGCAUUCCUAUAGAUGUCAGGAUGUACAAUGUGAAUGCACUUCUCUAGGAGAAGGUUGCUGGGUCAACAUUCUUAAACAACUGAACUUGAAUAAUGAUCACCAAACUAUUUUGCAAAGUACUUUUCUCAGUUUGUAAUCCCCCCAGGAGUGAGAGAAGCCCAGUGGGUCUACGUUCUUGGCAACACUUUGAAUUGCAGAAUUUUCAAAGUUUUUGGCAAUGUGAGUGGAAGAGAUCUCAUUAUGUUUUAAGCUUGUAAGUUUGUAUUUAACACCUUUGUAUGCAUGUAUAAGCCAUUUCGAUUUCCUCUUUUAAAGUGUUUAUUCAAAUUGUUUGCUUGGGGUUUUUUAAUGUGUUUUUAAUGUGCUUUGUAAAAGUUAUACACAAACACGAUAACCGUCUGUCCAUUGUAUGCCUUUCAAUUCUCUUUUGGUUGUGUGGCUUGUCUUUUUAACUGUCUUAAUGUUGUCUUGGUAAUAAAGAGAAAUUAUUAUUUUUAAA